UAUUUGUUUGGACGAUUCCCUGACGGUUUCAUGUAAUUAAUGUUGAAGCUGGAUAUGUAAACAACGCAUCAGAGUUGUGCAGUCCACCAUGCACUCUGGAUGUUGAGUAUCAUUAUUCAUGGGAUUUUGCACAGCAGGUGCAUUUUCCGCAUCAUUCUCAACAGGUUGGGCCGAUUUAUUUCCGUACCCCAAGGAAGUGCCAUGUGUUUGGUGUAUGUGCAGAAGGAUCAGGCAAACAGACUUUUUAUUUAAUUGAUGAAAGUCAGUGCACUGGGAAAGGAGCAGAAAGUGUGACGUCCAUGGCUCACCACUAUUUGCAGUUCUAUGGCAUAGGAGAGAAACAUGCACAGGUUGUAUUAUGCUAUAACUAUAUAUGUAAUAACUCUUUAUGUUUUAUUUUGGGCUGUAAUUUUACUAUUAUGAAGAAGCGACACCUGUUGGCAAAUGGGACAAUAUAGAGA